GUUUGCAAAUAUGUGUGUGCAUUUCUCAAAACAAUUUGUACAGACAGCAAAAGACUGGAUUUCUUGCAAAAGCCUGUAUUUUGCUCAAAAUCUUUAGUUCAUGUCUUCAUCGCAUUGCCAUCAGAAUGUCAAGUCCUUGUGUCAUUGUCUAUGAACAAGACAGUCAAAUUACUUAAUCAUGUUGUCAAUAAAACUCUGAUCUGAGAAUUGUACUAAAGCGACUGAGAAAAACUGUAAAGUACAGAGUGAAAUUCUCAAAACUAUUUGUUCAGUCUUCACAUCAUGAUGUCACGUGUGCACAUCAUAUAAGCAGUUUCUCUUUUUUCUCUUUUUUUCACUUUGAACAAGUUGCCAAAUGCUUUGGUACAUCCAUUCAAAUGAUUCUGCACAAUUCCCAGCUCUUUGCUACAUUAUCAAUUGUUUAUUUCAUGUUGAUCAAAAUGUAUUAUAUAGUUCACUGUGCAAUAGUUUUACUCCUCAAAACAUCUAGUCAUUAGUUCAUCGUAUAAGUCAUUAACUGCAAAAUGGUUGAUCAAGUUGUCAUAAUGUGACAAAUAUAUUUCUAUACAUCUCCAUUAUAUGUUUUUUUUUUUCUAAAUCUGUCCUGAUUUGGUAAAUUGCUCUCAGGUGACUUGACUUGCUCUAAAAAAGGUUGCAUCUCCCUUAACCAUCAACUGGCAAGUAUAUAUUUGGGUGAUGAAGCACAACACAAUGUUCUAUGUCUGACAAUGGUGCGCUUACACAUCACAAACUCUCUACAGAGGUCUCAUCCCUGAAGAAGAGAGGGGUCAGAGUGGAGAUCACCUGCCAAAGGGAGCUGUGCAGUGCAGACACAGAAACCUACAUCUACAUGCAGGUAUGGGUUUUGUUAUUUCAUUGUUUUAGACUAUGCUCACCACCUUGUUUAAGCACCUCAUCUUUUUGCUUGUAUGGCUGCCGUGUGGCGCCGACUUUGUAAAUUAUGUUUAGCAAGUUUUGCUGGCUGGGCUCUCACGUUGCCGCAUGCAACUGUGCAGGAGGAGCUGUGCAGUGCAGACACGGAAACGUACAUCUACAUGUUUGUUAUUUGUUUCCUGCAGGCCAAUAAGACGAGAAGAUAAAAGUCCAAGCUGGCUUCAGUAGUUUCGUACGGUCAGGGAGAGAGGCUGCAAUGAAAAGCGUUACACUAACGGGUGAUUGUUUCAUAUUUUCGUCUGUUUUUGAUGCACGUGACCGACAUUUAUAGCGUUGUAGCCCGGACUUUGCUGUUUAUUAUAGACACGCCUAAAAUCAGAUUAAUUUAUAUUGAAUUCAUGGGUAACCUCGCCAUUUUCUUUUGCUAUUUCAUCCUCACUUAUCAGGUUCACUGAGGAAAUGGAACUGAUGGUCACACAGAUUUAUGGAGGCAGACAUCCAAAACCUUGAUUGGACCUCCAGGAGAGACGAGUGUGGCCACUGGGACGUGCACAUUUAUGGACUUAAAGGUGAAUAUUGUGCAGUGUUGCCAGAUGGGGAAAUAAGAAUAAGAAAACCUUUAAUAGUCCCGCAGUGGGGAAAUGACUUCUCACAACAGCAGUACAGAUGAGCGAGAAUACAGGUACAGAACAGUUUGUGUUGGCACAGUACAAAGCAGUACAGUACAGUACAGUUAGUGUGAGUAUGAGGUCAUUGCAGGGUUUUUGCACGGUAAUGGGUAUAAGAUUUGUACCGGUAACAUUAUACAUGAUUGUUCACAGAUUUACACAAAUAUUGUGCAGAGCAGGUUGCUAUAUAAACCACUGAUGCAGUGGGUGAGUGACUGUAGCGGGACGUGGUCAACAGUUCUGAUUAUACAGUCUGACAGCAGCAGGUAGGAAGGAUCUACGAUAUCUCUCCUUCACACAGCGAGGGUGGAUCAGUCUGCUACUGAAGCCGCUCUCCAGAGCAGACAGUGAGUCCUCCAGUGGGUGAGAAUCCUGGUCCAUGAUGGAUGUCAGUUU
rnacentral:lncRNA from 1 species